rnacentral:rRNA from 1 species
UUGUCUCAAAGAUUAAGCCAUGCAUGUCUAAGUACAAACUAAAUUAAAGUGAAACCGCGAAAGGCUCAUUAAAUCAGUUAUGGUUCCUUAGAUCGUACCCACAUUUACUUGGAUAACUGUGGUAAUUCUAGAGCUAAUACAUGCAAACAGAACUCCGACCAGAAAUGGAAGGAGCGCUUUUAUUAGAUCAAAACCAAUCGGCACUGGCUUCGGCUGGUUGUCGUACGACUUGGUGAAUCUGAAUAACUUUGCUGAUCGCACGGUCUCGUACCGGCGACGCAUCUUUCAAAUGUCUGCCUUAUCAACUGUCGAUGGUAGGUUUUGCGCCUACCAUGGUUGUAACGGGUAACGGGGAAUCAGGGUUCGAUUCCGGAGAGGGAGCCUGAGAAACGGCUACCACAUCCAAGGAAGGCAGCAGGCGCGCAAAUUACCCACUCCCGGCACGGGGAGGUAGUGACGAAAAAUAACGAUACGGGACUCAUCCGAGGCCCCGUAAUCGGAAUGAGUACACUUUAAAUCCUUUAACGAGGAUCAAUUGGAGGGCAAGUCUGGUGCCAGCAGCCGCGGUAAUUCCAGCUCCAAUAGCGUAUAUUAAAGUUGUUGCGGUUAAAAAGCUCGUAGUUGAAUUUGUGUGUCGCGCCGCCGGUUCAUCGCUCGCGGUGUUAACUGGCGUGUUCGCGAUACGUCCUGCCGGUGGGCUUAGCCCGUAAAAAGGCGGCCCAAAUUGAAAAAAUCCUGCCACGGUGCUCUUCGCUGAGUGUCGAGGUGGGCCGGCACGUUUACUUUGAACAAAUUAGAGUGCUUAAAGCAGGCUAAAAUUUCGCCUGAAUAAUGUGUGCAUGGAAUAAUAGAAUAGGACCUCGGUUCUAUUUUGUUGGUUUUCGGAACACCGAGGUAAUGAUUAAUAGGGACAGAUGGGGGCAUUCGUAUUGCGACGUUAGAGGUGAAAUUCUUGGAUCGUCGCAAGACGGACAUAAGCGAAAGCAUUUGCCAAAAAUGUUUUCAUUAAUCAAGAACGAAAGUCAGAGGUUCGAAGGCGAUCAGAUACCGCCCUAGUUCUGACCAUAAACGAUGCCAGCUAGCGAUCCGUCGACGUUCCUCCGAUGACUCGACGGGCAGCUUCCGGGAAACCAAAGCUUUUGGGUUCCGGGGGAAGUAUGGUUGCAAAGCUGAAACUUAAAGGAAUUGACGGAAGGGCACCACCAGGAGUGGAGCCUGCGGCUUAAUUUGACUCAACACGGGAAACCUCACCAGGCCCGGACACCGGAAGGAUUGACAGAUUGAGAGCUCUUUCUUGAUUCGGUGGGUGGUGGUGCAUGGCCGUUCUUAGUUGGUGGAGCGAUUUGUCUGGUUAAUUCCGAUAACGAACGAGACUCUAGCCUGCUAAAUAGGCGUACAUCCGGCAUCUCGAAGGGCCGCCGGCCGUACGUAGUACCGUUUCGGCGGUGUCUGCCCGGUCGUGCGCGCUUUUUACUGCCGGCGUACAAACAAAUCUUCUUAGAGGGACAGGCGGCUUCUAGCCGCACGAGAUUGAGCAAUAACAGGUCUGUGAUGCCCUUAGAUGUUCUGGGCCGCACGCGCGCUACACUGAAGGAAUCAGCGUGUCUUCCCUGUCCGAGAGGACCGGGUAACCCGCUGAACCUCCUUCGU